CAGAUUGUUAACUCUAUCGCACCUUGGGACUGACAUCACGCACUAAACCGUUUGAUUGACAGCAGCUGAGAUCUGCAGUGCGACUCAGGCAGUUUCACAUUCGGUAACUCAGGCAAAGGAUUUUAAAUGGUGUACCCGCAUGAUGAAGUAUCUUCCAUCAUAGAUGGGGAGGACUUUCUUGAUGGCCAAAGUCCCAUUGGGGUAGAC